UCAAGUGGUAGAGCGUCAGCAAGCAGGACAAGCAGGAGGCCCUAAACUCAAGACCAGAACCACUCAAGUUAAAUAAAGAAAAACAUCACUUGUUCUUUGGAAAAGACUAGGAGAAGGUAAGCAAGUCUUUGGCAAGUAAAAUUAAACAGUACACAAACACCAGGAUUUUAUUUUUUUGCCCACAGAUAGUGAGAUCUUUGAAAAUGUAAAAGCGUGGAAUGCUACAUAUUUAUAUGUGAAUAAGUAAAAUGACAUCUUUUGGUAAACAGAUUUUCAUUAGCUCAAAAUAAAAGUAGAAACAAAGUAGAUAAAGAAGACAAAGUAGAAAACCUGAAACCAUGUUGGGCAUUGAUGGUAUAUAAAAUAAAAACUAGAUGGGUUAUUUUCAUGAAACAAACAUUUCUGACAAUGAAAUCAGUCAAGAACACCACAGCAAAGAAAAUUACAGCCCAAUCUCAGGGGUGGGGGUAGAGCAGGGCACCAGUUCUUGAUUGAGAAAGAUUUUGUACCCCAGCAGAUGGGCCCUGGAGA